ACUCAACAAACAAAAGACAUGUUUGAGAUUUUAAAAAGAUGAAGGAAGAUGAAUCUUUUUAGAAAGUGAUUUUAGUAAGAGUGGGAUGAGAUGAAAAAGAAAAGAGUUAAGUAAGAGUUUAAAUAGAGAGGGAAAGAAAGAGUUAAAAAUAUUUAGGAUGGAGUAGGUAGAAGCCUAAAAGAAGUAUAUUAAAUAGGUAUCAAUGCAUGCAGAAGUAAUAACAUUUAAACCAAGACACAUAACAGAGCACCCUUGUCAUAAGAUGCAAAACAAAGAGUAAAAACAAGAGAAGAAAAAAACAUUGACAAAUAGAAUAAUAUAAAAGAAGAUAAAAAACAAGAAGACAAUAACAAAAUAAAAUCAGGGAAAGGAGAAACUAGAGCAUACAAAUCCAACACUAUAGGGUCCUAAGCUAUUUCGAGCUUCUUACUCCAUCUGGUCUAUAGAGCCUCCAUUAACCUAGCCUCCUGCACAUUUUCAACAAUACCUUUUUGAAGGAAAAGUUCAAAAAGAACUCUUGCAAAAGGUAUGAUAGAAGAUACUCCAUCGUGGGAGGCAAUAAUAGUAUUCCUUAAGAAAUUGAAGAUUGUGAGGGGAAGGUUAUCCCUAAUCCUAGGUGAGAUGAAGAAGAUAAGAUGCUUGUCAAUAUAAGUGAGUGUUUCUAGCGUAUCUUCUCAUGACUGAAAGUUUGACACCAGCUGUUGAUGCCAGAUCUCCGCCUUGGGAUGAAAAAAGGAGACACUUGUGAGGUUGUCCUUGGUGGCAAGGAUCUUAUUUGGAAUUAUGUCAAUGAAUGGACUUGUCCUUGGGUACAUGUCCAUAUGAACCCUAACAUCCCCGCAUAAGAUUGUCUUAGCAAUCAGAGCAGGAGUUAGAGUGAUGGGAAUUUAAAAAAUAAUAGACUUAAUGGACAAAGUAUCUUGUUAAUAUGCAAGAGGGGCACAUUAGUCCAGAAUUUUCUAAUGAGAAUUGGAUAGAUGGGUUCUUUAAGAAUGUUAAAAUAAUUCUCCUACUUUAGGGAACAAAUAUGACUCAGAAGAUCAAGACCAUGAUCCCUAAAUUAGUUGAAGUCAACAAAAUUUUCAGAAGCAAUGGUGAGGGGCAGGUUACUCAACAAACAAAAGACAUGUUUGAGAUUUUAAAAAGAUGAAGGAAGAUGAAUCUUUUUAGAAAGUGAUUUUAGUAAGAGUGGGAUGAGAUGAAAAAGAAAAGAGUUAAGUAAGAGUUUAAAUAGAGAGGGAAAGAAAGAGUUAAAAAUAUUUAGGAUGGAGUAGGUAGAAGCCUAAAAGAAGUAUAUUAAAUAGGUAUCAAUGCAUGCAGAAGUAAUAACAUUUAAACCAAGACACAUAACAGAGCACCCUUGUCAUAAGAUGCAAAACAAAGAGUAAAAACAAGAGAAGAAAAAAACAUUGACAAAUAGAAUAAUAUAAAAGAAGAUAAAAAACAAGAAGACAAUAACAAAAUAAAAUCAGGGAAAGGAGAAACUAGAGCAUACAAAUCCAACACUAUAGGGUCCUAAGCUAUUUUGAGCUUCUUACUCCAUCUGGUCCAUAGAGCCUCCAUUAACCUAGCCUCAUGCACAUUUUCAACAAUACCUUUUUGAAGGAAAAGUUAAAAAAUAACUCUUGCAAAAGGUAUGAUAGAAGAUACUCCAUCGUGGGAGGCAAUAAUAGUAUUCCUUAAGAAAUUGAAGAUUGUGAGGGGAAGGUUAU
rnacentral:lncRNA from 1 species